rnacentral:rRNA from 1 species
UGGGGGAUAUUGCACAAUGGGGGAAACCCUGAUGCAGCGACGCCGCGUGAAGGAAGAAGUAUUUCGGUAUGUAAACUUCUAUCAGCAGGGAAGAAAAUGACGGUACCUGACUAAGAAGUCCCGGCUAACUACGUGCCAGCAGCCGCGGUAAUACGUAGGGGGCAAGCGUUAUCCGGAUUUACUGGGCGUAAAGGGAGCGUAGGCGGCAAGGCAAGCCAGAUGUGAAGGGCCGGGGCUCAACCCCGGGACUGCAUUUGGAACUGUCUGGCUGGAGUGCGGGAGAGGCAGGCGGAAUUCCUAGUGUAGCGGUGAAAUGCGUAGAUAUUAGGAGGAACACCAGUGGCGAAGGCGGCCUGCUGGACCGUGACUGACGCUGAGGCUCGAAAGCGUGGGGAGCAAACAGG